UACAGGAUUCCAUCCCAAAUAUAAAAUUCAAUGUGGAUUCUCUUCAAAAUCUUUCUAUACCUUGUAAUUUGCAGUGGGGUUGUGGGGACUGCUGGUAGAUCUUCACAAAGUAUGUCUGGAAUGUUGACUGAAAUCCUCAGGCACUGCUGCUUUCAGGCAGCAGAGCCCAAGUUACUGCCAGCAGGCUGCAAAAGAGCAUCUCCAGGAUGGCAUUAACCCCUCCACAUCACUGGGUGGCCAUCAUUAGUGCCCUCAUAGGGCAGUGUCUUCUUGCCAGAGAGGGCCACAAGCAAAGGCAAGAUUUUCAAUUGUUUUUCUUCUCAGAAACAGCAUCUCAGCCUGUCACUCAGGCUGGAUGCAGUGGUGUAAUCAUACAUAGCUCACUGCAGCCUCAAACUCCUGGCCUCAAGUGAUCCUCCCACCUCAGCCUCCCAGGUAGCUGGGACUAUAGCCGUGUACCACCACACCCUGCUGAUUUUUAUUUUUUGUAGAGAUGGGGUCUCACUAUGUUACCCAGGCUGGUCUUGAACUCCUGGCCUCAAGUGAUCUUCCCACUUCGGCCUUUCAUAGUGCUGGAGUUAUAAGUGUGAGCCACCACACCCACCCAAAGGCAAGAUUUUCUAGGGACAAAUUCCAGAGAGAUGACAGUGACUUCUGCAAAGUAGGAAUCAAAUAAUCUGAAAUCUGUGAUGAGCUUGAAGGGACAGAACUUGAGGGGAGAGGAGGAGAAGAAUAAAAAACACUCAAACAACACAGGGAAGGAAGCCAGUCAGAAGGACCACAUAUUAUGUAAUUCCCAUCUUCUUUACAUGGAGGGUUGUAUUCGGGAGUAAGAAU
rnacentral:lncRNA from 1 species